rnacentral:rRNA from 1 species
CCUACGGGGGGCAGCAGUGAGGAAUAUUGGUCAAUGGCCGGAAGUCUGAACCAGCCAAGUCGCGUGAAGGAAGACGGAUCUAUGGUUUGUAAACUUCUUUUAUAGGGGAGUAAAGCUAUCCACGUGUGGAUAUUUGCAUGUACCCUAUGAAUAAGCAUCGGCUAACUCCGUGCCAGCAGCCGCGGUAAUACGGAGGAUGCGAGCGUUAUCCGGAUUUAUUGGGUUUAAAGGGUGCGUAGGUUGUUUUUUAAGUCAGAGGUGAAAGUUUGUGGCUUAACCAGAAAAUUGCCGUUGAAACUGGAAGACUUGAGUGUGUUUGAGGUAGGCGGAAUGCGUGGUGUAGCGGUGAAAUGCUUAGAUAUCACAAAGAACUCCGAUUGCGAAGGCAGUUCAC